rnacentral:rRNA from 1 species
CUACGGGAAGGCAGCAGUAGGGAAUCUUCCACAAUGGACGCAAGUCUGAUGGAGCACGCCGCGUGAGUGAAGAAGGUUUUCGGAUCGUAAAGCUCUGUUGUUGGUGAAGAAGGAUAGAGGCAGUAACUGGUCUUUAUUUGACGGUAAUCAACCAGAAAGUCACGGCUAACUACGUGCCAGCAGCCGCGGUAAUACGUAGGUGGCAAGCGUUGUCCGGAUUUAUUGGGCGUAAAGCGAGCGCAGGCGGAAUGAUAAGUCUGAUGUGAAAGCCCACGGCUCAACCGUGGAACUGCAUCGGAAACUGUCAUUCUUGAGUGCAGAAGAGGAGAGUGGAAUUCCAUGUGUAGCGGUGGAAUGCGUAGAUAUAUGGAAGAACACCAGUGGCGAAGGCGGCUCUCUGGUCUGCAACUGACGCUGAGGCUCGAAAGCAUGGGUAGCGAACAGGAUUAGAUACCCUGGUAGU